rnacentral:tRNA from 1 species
UCUAGGCUGGUGUAAUACGAGCACGUAAAAUUUUCGUUUUUGCGGAGGGGCUGUUGGGCCCCGCUUAGAU